GACUUGAAUCUGCACAUAAACAAAUUCAUAAUUAUUUAUACUUCACAUUACAUUCAAAGAGAAAAGACCCAACCUCGACUCUGGUGCCAACAUAUAAAUUAUAGCCAUCGAACGAAUAGCUUGUUGGCAUUAUUCAUAUAAUUAAUAUAUAUAUGAGGGAUAGACUUAAUGGUAGAUAUUAAAAAACUAAACAAGUUUUAUGUAAUUAGCACCAUCAU
rnacentral:lncRNA from 1 species